UUAAGUUCAGCGGGUAGUCCUACCUGAUUUGAGAUCAAACGUUCAAAAAGCUGUCCUCGCUGAGGAGAGACGUUUAUGAGCCCCAGCGAACCUCCAUAUCACUGAAGGUUAUCUGAUGGAAAACCACAAGCGUAGAUAGUUAUCACACCUGUGAUGCCACCAAACACUGGCAAGCUGAUUCAUUUGAGAGGAGCCGACCC
rnacentral:misc_RNA from 1 species